UGGAUGACUAUGUACCGAGGGAGGUUAGC
rnacentral:piRNA from 1 species